AACAUCGCGCACCUGCGGGAACCUGCGGAAGGAUCAUUAAUGAUUGGUGGCUGUUGCUGACUAGUGUUUCUAGUAUGUGCACGCCACACCUUCAAUCCCACUUACACCUGUGCACCUUCUGUAAUAGAUCUAUGUGGAUACGGAGAUACGAAAGUUUGCGCUCUCGUACUCUGUUGAAGCAGUCUACUACGUUUUUUUACACACACACAAUAGUCAUUGAAUGUAUUUUUUAUUCUUAUG
rnacentral:misc_RNA from 1 species